AUGUCUGUUUUCAAACUGCCAAAGGGAAUACGCAAGGCAAUCACUGAUGAAAUAUCUGGUUUCUGGUGGGGAGAUACUGAUGAUCAGAAGAAAAUGCAUUGGUUUGCGUGGUGGAAGUUGUGCAUCCCGAAGCAGAAGGGGGGAUUGGGGUUUAGGGACCUUCACAGUUUUAAUCUUGCUAUGUUAGCAAAACAGUGUUGGAGACUUCUCCAGAACCCGGACUCUUUGUGUGCUCAGGUCCUUAGCGCUAAAUAUUAUCCAGAUGGAAAUUUGCUAAAAGCUGGUCCAAAAAAGGGGUCGUCCUAUACAUGGCAAAGUAUCAUGGCAGGC
rnacentral:rRNA from 1 species